rnacentral:rRNA from 1 species
UACGUAGGGGGCAAGCGUUGUCCGGAAUUAUUGGGCGUAAAGAGCUCGUAGGCGGUUUGUCGCGUCUGCUGUGAAAACCCGAGGCUCAACCUCGGGCCUGCAGUGGGUACGGGCAGACUAGAGUGCGGUAGGGGGAGAAUGGAAUUCCUGGUGUAGCGGUGGAAUGCGCAGAUAUCAGGAGGAACACCGGUGGCGAAGGCGGGUCUCUGGGCAGUAACUGACGCUGAGGAGCGAAAGCCAGGGGAGCAAACGGGAUUAGAAACCC